AUUGAACGCUGGCGGCAGGCCUUAUACAUGCAAGUCGAACGAGAAAGUAUCUUCGGAUACGAGUAAAGUGGCGGACGGGUGAGUAAUACAUAGGAAUCUACCCAGUGGAGGGGGAUAGCUCGAGGAAACUCGAAUUAAUACCGCAUAAUCUCUACGGAGUAAAUGGGGGCUUCGGCUCUCGCCAUUGGAUGAGCCUAUGCAGGAUUAGCUUGUUGGUAAGGUAAUGGCUUACCAAGGCGACGAUCCUUAGCUGGUUUGAGAGGAUGAUCAGCCACAUCGGGACUGAGACACGGCCCGGACUCCUACGGGAGGCAGCAGCCGGGAAUAUUGCGCAAUGGGCGAAAGCCUGACGCAGCCAUGCCGCGUGUGUGAUGAAGGUCUUAGGAUCGUAAAGCACUUUCGCCAGGGAUGAUAAUGACAGUACCUGGUAAAGAAACCCCGGCUAACUCCG
rnacentral:rRNA from 1 species